GACGAACGCUGGCGGCGUGCUUAACACAUGCAAGUCGAACGGAAAGGCCCCCUUGUGGGGUACUCGAGUGGCGAACGGGUGAGUAACACGUGAGUAACCUACCCUUGACUUUGGGAUAACUUCAGGAAACUGGGGCUAAUACCGGAUAGGAGCUCCUGCUGCAUGGUGGGGGUUGGAAAGUUUCGGCGGUUGGGGAUGGACUCGCGGCUUAUCAGCUUGUUGGUGGGGUAGUGGCUCACCAAGGCUUUGACGGGUAGCCGGCCUGAGAGGGUGACCGGCCACAUUGGGACUGAGAUACGGCCCAGACUCCUAAGGGAGGCAGGAGUGGGGAAUAUUGCACAAUGGGCGGAAGCCUGAUGCAGCAACGCCGCGUGCGGGAUGACGGCCUUCGGGUUGUAAACCGCUUUCGCCUGUGACGAAGCGUGAGUGACGGUAAUGGGUAAAGAAGCACCGGCUAACUACGUG
rnacentral:rRNA from 1 species